rnacentral:rRNA from 1 species
CCUACGGGGGGCUGCAGUGGGGAAUAUUGGACAAUGGGGGGAACCCUGAUCCAGCCAUGCCGCGUGUGUGAAGAAGGCCCUCGGGUUGUAAAGCACUUUCAGUGAGGAAGAACGCCUGGUGGUUAAUACCCAUCAGGAAAGACAUCACUCACAGAAGAAGCACCGGCUAACUCCGUGCCAGCAGCCGCGGUAAUACGGAGGGUGCGAGCGUUAAUCGGAAUUACUGGGCGUAAAGCGCGCGUAGGUGGCUUGAUAAGCCGGUUGUGAAAGCCCCGGGCUCAACCUGGGAACGGCAUCCGGAACUGGCAGGCUAGAGUGCAGGAGAGGAAGGUAGAAUUCCCGGUGUAGCGGUGAAAUGCGUAGAGAUCGGGAGGAAUACCAGUGGCGAAGGCGGCCUUCUGGACUGACACUGACACUGAGGUGCGAAAGCGUGGGUAGCAAACAGGAUUAGAUACCCCUGUAGUC